AAUCUGCCUUUUGGUUUGGAAUAACACGGGGAAACUUGUGCUAAUACCGAAUAAGCCCUUACGGGGAAAGUUUUAACGCCGAAAGAUGAGCCCGCACUUGAUUAGCUAGUUGGUAAGGUAAAGGCUUACCAAGGCUACGAUCAAUAGCUGUUCUUAGAGGAAGACCAGCCACAUUGGGACUGAGACACGGCCCAGACUCCUACGGGAGGCAGCAGUGGGGAAUCUUGCACAAUGGGGGAAACCCUGAUGCAGCGAUGCCGCGUGAGUGAAGAAGGCCCUUGGGUUGUAAAACUCUUUCGUCGGGG
rnacentral:rRNA from 1 species